rnacentral:sRNA from 1 species
AUUAUUUUUUAUAUAUAAAAUUUUUGCAAAUUGUAUCAUUCUCUAAUACAUUUAUAUUUUAUAGUUUAAUUUUAUAUAUAGUAACAUUAUACAUACCACAUAACAUUUUUGGUUUUAUAUAAUUUUUUCUAAAUUAGGAUGAUUUGAUAUGUUUAAUAUUAGUGGUCUUAAAAAAUAAUAAAUUAAAGAUUUAACCCAUAUUGAAACGGUGGAUUAAUUAUAUUUUACUUUUUUAUUAAUGUUGAUUCAAAAACCCGUCCCUCCAAAUCCGUCUUGCCAAAAAAUCAUUUAUUUUAUUAAUAUUAGUUUUAUUAAUGAUAUGACUCUGAAUUAUAAUCUAAACAUUUUAGCUAAUAACAUAGGAGUGCACCAUAUUUAUUUAAUAGGGGAAUGUACCAUAUGACCCGAAUGCAUUUUUAUCCAAAUCCACCAAAAAAGUCUUGCAAAAAUACUAUAGAGAUAAAAAACGAUAGUCGGUUUUGAUAAAUAUAAGAUUAGCAAAUAUAUUAGUUAGCUUAAAUUAGUUAAA